UGCGAUCCUAUUACGUUGAAAUUUUGAUUCCCUUACGAUCACCGAAGUUAAGCAACAUCGAGCCUGUCUAGUACCUCGAGGAAUGACCACUUGGGAUACUAGGUGCUGCAAG